CCAAUCCUGAUGUGUUCGUCAUAACCAUUCAGUUUUGACCGAACAACAACGUAAACGGGAGCCUAGCGUUUCUGUGUGGCGUGCAAGCCUCCAAUUAUAGAGUGGAAGUACAAAACAUAGAACAGGGCACCCACCUGCUGGGAGCGGGUUCAAAACGUUCAAGGUGACGGCACGAUUGGGAUUGGU
rnacentral:other from 1 species